rnacentral:lncRNA from 1 species
GUUUCAGGGAAUUAUCUAUAUCCCUUAAGUGGAUUUUCGAUCUUGUGUUUCUGAGGGCAAGCAGUUAAGAAGGGAAGAUGAACAUAAAGUAGGGAAGAGCAAAAAUGAGUUGGAACCUAAGACACGAGCUGGUCAUUCUUUCACUGUCUCCAACUUUAAAGAUAUGAGUAUCCUUGCUAGAGGAGCUGACACUUUUUGCCACAGGACUAGACACACACACAGCUCAGGAAUCAAAAAAGGUGAAGGAAGACUCAGGGAAAAGCUUCUGCCCCAUCCCAACAAGGUGAACCAGCUGAUUGGUGACAAAGUAGAUGAGCCGCAGUAGCACCUAG